rnacentral:tRNA from 1 species
GGAGAGGUGGCCGAGUGGCUGAAGGCGGCACCCUGCUAAGGUGUUAUAUCCGAUAGGGUAUCGAGGGUUCGAAUCCCUCCCUCUCCGCCA